rnacentral:rRNA from 1 species
UGGGGAAUAUUGGACAAUGGGGGAAACCCUGAUCCAGCCAUGCCGCGUGUGUGAAGAAGGCCUUUUGGUUGUAAAGCACUUUAAGCAGUGAAGAAGACUCUUCGGUUAAUACCCGGAGACGAUGACAUUAGCUGCAGAAUAAGCACCGGCUAACUCUGUGC